rnacentral:rRNA from 1 species
AAAUUGAAGAGUUUGAUCAUGGCUCAGAUUGAACGCUGGCGGCAGGCUUAACACAUGCAAGUCGAGCGGAAACGAGUUAUCUGAACCUUCGGGGAACGAUAAGGGCGUCGAGCGGCGGACGGGUGAGUAAUGCCUAGGAAAUUGCCCUGAUGUGGGGGAUAACCAUUGGAAACGAUGGCUAAUACCGCAUGAUGCCUACGGGCCAAAGAGGGGGACCUUCGGGCCUCUCGCGUCAGGAUAUGCCUAGGUGGGAUUAGCUAGUUGGUGAGGUAAGGGCUCACCAAGGCGACGAUCCCUAGCUGGUCUGAGAGGAUGAUCAGCCACACUGGAACUGAGACACGGUCCAGACUCCUACGGGAGGCAGCAGUGGGGAAUAUUGCACAAUGGGCGCAAGCCUGAUGCAGCCAUGCCGCGUGUGUGAAGAAGGCCUUCGGGUUGUAAAGCACUUUCAGUCGUGAGGAAGGUAGUGUAGUUAAUAGCUGCAUUAUUUGACGUUAGCGACAGAAGAAGCACCGGCUAACUCCGUGCCAGCAGCCGCGGUAAUACGGAGGGUGCGAGCGUUAAUCGGAAUUACUGGGCGUAAAGCGCAUGCAGGUGGUUUGUUAAGUCAGAUGUGAAAGCCCGGGGCUCAACCUCGGAAUAGCAUUUGAAACUGGCAGACUAGAGUACUGUAGAGGGGGGUAGAAUUUCAGGUGUAGCGGUGAAAUGCGUAGAGAUCUGAAGGAAUACCGGUGGCGAAGGCGGCCCCCUGGACAGAUACUGACACUCAGAUGCGAAAGCGUGGGGAGCAAACAGGAUUAGAUACCCUGGUAGUCCACGCCGUAAACGAUGUCUACUUGGAGGUUGUGGCCUUGAGCCGUGGCUUUCGGAGCUAACGCGUUAAGUAGACCGCCUGGGGAGUACGGUCGCAAGAUUAAAACUCAAAUGAAUUGACGGGGGCCCGCACAAGCGGUGGAGCAUGUGGUUUAAUUCGAUGCAACGCGAAGAACCUUACCUACUCUUGACAUCCAGAGAACUUUCCAGAGAUGGAUUGGUGCCUUCGGGAACUCUGAGACAGGUGCUGCAUGGCUGUCGUCAGCUCGUGUUGUGAAAUGUUGGGUUAAGUCCCGCAACGAGCGCAACCCUUAUCCUUGUUUGCCAGCGAGUAAUGUCGGGAACUCCAGGGAGACUGCCGGUGAUAAACCGGAGGAAGGUGGGGACGACGUCAAGUCAUCAUGGCCCUUACGAGUAGGGCUACACACGUGCUACAAUGGCGCAUACAGAGGGCGGCCAACUUGCGAAAGUGAGCGAAUCCCAAAAAGUGCGUCGUAGUCCGGAUUGGAGUCUGCAACUCGACUCCAUGAAGUCGGAAUCGCUAGUAAUCGUGGAUCAGAAUGCCACGGUGAAUACGUUCCCGGGCCUUGUACACACCGCCCGUCACACCAUGGGAGUGGGCUGCAAAAGAAGUAGGUAGUUUAACCUUCGGGGGGACGCUUACCACUUUGUGGUUCAUGACUGGGGUGAAGUCGUAACAAGGUAGCGCUAGGGGAACCUGGCGCUGGAUCACCUCCUUA